rnacentral:rRNA from 1 species
UACGUAGGGUGCGAGCGUUGUCCGGAAUUAUUGGGCGUAAAGGGCUCGUAGGCGGUCUGUUGCGUCAGGAGUGAAAACUCGGGGCUUAACCCCGAGCCUGCUUCUGAUACGGGCAGACUAGAGGUAUGCAGGGGAGAACGGAAUUCCUGGUGUAGCGGUGAAAUGCGUAGAUAUCAGGAAGAACACCCGUGGCGAAGGCGGCUCUCUGGGACGGUACUGACGCUGAGACGCGAAAGCGUGGGGAGCGAACAGG